ACUUACUGUUCUGGAAAGAUAAUGACUUAUCUCAAAGAAGGGUCGAGGAAAUAGUAAAUAAUCUUCAACAGAAAAGGGAAAAUCUAGCGAAAGUAGAAAAUGGGGAUGGUAUUACAUCCUCCAAACCUCCACCUCCCGCCUAAGGGAGGAGGAAAAAGUCCAUACACUCAUGAGGACCUCCUCAUGUCCCUCUUCAUAGGAACCGAGCUCUCCUCUAGGAAUAUUCUUGUUCCCAGGAGCUGAAUCAGAGUUAGGAAUUACACUUACUGACCCGGACCUCGCGUUUCUGCGGAGACGCGGGAAACAAGACGUGUGCAGUCCGUCUGUCCGAUGAUAAGCCAGCCGACCUGGAGAGGGCCCUGGAAGGUCCCCAAAGGCAAGUCCGGUUCCGUCCGCUCCUAGGGUCCAGGUCAGCCCGCGCCGCGUGGGCGGCAGCCGGAGCAGUGAGAGCGGCUGGGCGGUUAGCGCUGCAGGGUCUGCUGCCGACCUCUCAGGCCAAGCGUGCCUGGGCACCGCACUCACUCGCGGGGUGGGGGGUGAGGGUGGGAGGAUCAGAGAUGGGAGCUUGGGGAGCGGGGCAAACCCCACCCUUAAAGACAACAAAACAGGUGCAGAGGCUGCGGGCGAUAGUCCUGCAGGGGAGGAGAAUGGAGGAGAAGUUUUGGUGGCGAGCGAGCAGGAACAGUGUCCAGGGUCUCUCCGCCGCCUUCCGGGCUUGCAAGCCCGCGCAGCCAGACCCUACCCAGAGGGGCGCCCCCUCGCGGGUCCCCAGCCACCACCUGCAGCUGCUGCUGUCACCUACUGUGCCACCCCCAAGUUUGAUACUCUGGGCUUUUGCACCACCCCUACCUCCCUUUCCUUCCACGAAUUUCUCCCUUUGCUCUCUCCCCCCCAGUUCCGCGAGAGAUGGCCCGGCGAAGACAGACCUCCUGGACUUAAGGCCGAGUUCACCAAAUCCGCCCCGGGGAAAGGCGAGGGCAAAGGCGGGGUGGACCGACCCAGCUGCGGCUGAGUGGCUGAGGUCCCGAGCAGGGCAGACGAGCGCAGGAGAACUCAGGAGCAGAGAUGGGGAGCUGGAUCUGCGCAGAACCCCGGAAAAGCGCCAGCAGGACUGCACCGAGAACAAAUCCUCCGCUCCCUCGCCCAGGGCUGGGGCGCAGCGCGCUGGUGCUCCUCUGGAGCUGGGCGGUCCCCGUGCUCCAAACAAGAAGCUGACUUCUGGAUCCUUCACUCUUUGAUCCUGACCCAAGCCACUCGUGCCACCAGGAGCGCAUGCCUCUGGAAUACUCGCUCCUGUCUCCUUGUGGUGAAGCCUUCCGCUGAUGCCCAGAGUCUCCCAGGCUGAAUUAGUGGGUAGGAGCAAAACAGGAUGGUGGAGACGAUCAGCAGAGCAGCAGCGUCUGUUUCCUCGGGAUUCCUCCCAGGAACACUAUUCGAAGCCAUUCCUUCUAAAAGUUUGCAGCCAGUCUCUCUUUCCUUUGUUCGUUUUUAGAGGAGGCAGUAGAGCUACCUACAUUUAAAAAACCAAAGCCUGAUACUGAUAACCUAAGUCUUUACUUAACCAUCCUGUUUGGAGGCUUUGCACACAUUACUUUUCCUCUAUGCAUUGGCAUUUCUGAAAUAAGGAUGGUUAUGCUGGUGUGCUUGGAAUUUCUCUGAAAUAUACCCCAAAUGAUUAGACUAAAAAUCAGAUUCUGCUACUUUAAAAGGAAAAAAUAUAUAUUUAUCUGUUAAAAAAAAAAAAGGCAAUACAUGUUCUCCAAGAUGUUAAUUAAAGGCUUCUCUCAAAUGGAUUGGAUUUUCAAUUCCUUCAGGGUUUUUCCACACCCUAAUAGUAUUGCAACUGUAAGGCAUUUUUACAGUGUAAUCUGAUUAAUCUUCAGUUAAUAUAGAAUUAUGCCCACAGGAGUAUAGGAAUUGUUUAUAAAACAAAGCAGUCCAGGCUUUUCAAAUACCUAGAAACAAAGGUAAACAAAACUGGAAAUAUACAACGUGUUCUACACAGUUCCACUGAAAGUCUUUUUGUAGAUUUUUUUUUUUUUCCUUAAGAAAGUACUCUUUGCCCAAAUAUGUGUUCUAUGUGACGGGGUCCAUUCUUCUUAAUAUAUCUACACUGGUGAAGAAUGAACUAUAUACCAAUAAGGUAUAUUAUUGAAAGAGUAGAAAUGGAUUUAAACAACAACCACACAAACAAAUCAAAUAUCCAGCAAAACAGAUGAGUGUUGUCUUUCAGAGCAAUUGCUUUGGAAAAUUCAACUGAUUUCAGUGAUAUUGAUUGCACAAAACAUUUUUUAUCUUCUUUGAAAUUGCCUUUCAGAAGCAUAUUAGCAGCCAUAAACAACUAUUUGUCUCACUCCCUUAUAGAUGUGUAUUUGUCUUAGUAGAUUCAUAUAGUUCCACAGACAUCUAGUCAGCAACCUCGAAAGAGUAAAUGAUCUCUAUGAUUAAUGUCCUUUAAUAAAGUUUAGAAUUGGAUGAGAAACUGAUAAACUGAAAUUAAAGUCACUUUAUAGUGUAUCAUGUUAUCAAGGAUAGCUGUGGGAAUUAGCUUAUGACACUUUUGUGCAUCACAGUCUAAUUAAUAUCCUUAAAUGUGCAUGCAUAUCCUGUGUAUUGUAGUAACAACAAACCACUGUGAUGAAUGUCCAUAAACCCAAUUAUGACACUGACAGGAGAUUGGGAGUUUGUGGAAUUGGUGGUGAAAUAUCGAUUAAUCCAAAUUGAAAUAGGAUAAGAUUAUUGAUGCUUGAUUUCUUUUGUAUCAAAUCAUUUAGUUGCUCAGGAAAUUCCAUUUCUAACCAGAAUAUGUGCUGUGACUGCUCUUCAAAUAGAGAACAGACUCAAACUCACAUGCCUGCAUGGUUAGGGCCAAUGACAUAAAUGGACCAGCAAGCUAGGUUGUAGGAGAGUGUGGAAAAUGGUGAUUGCUAUAACACCUUGAAGAGCACAAAAGCACAUGCUAUAGCUGAAUGGGGAGAUUGCUUCUCAGAUUA
rnacentral:lncRNA from 1 species